GCAUGUUACCAAACAUUCUUAGAGAAAAAACUCUUUUUAGAGAGAAUUUCUUAUGAGGAAACCGAAUUAAAAAGUGUGAAAUAUAUUUCCUACAAAGGGAAAAUAAUAAAAUAAUUUUUUUUCUUUUUGUGAUUUUCUGCUUGCAUGUCAAACACUUAGCCAAUAAACCCAUAAAUUGAGUUUUGCUGAGUUGUAAAUUGGUACAUUUGGGGCUAUAAAGUGCAUAAUUUUAGUGUGGUAACUUUCUGAGAAAAAAAAAAAAUGGCUUCCUCUGAUGACAGAGAUACAGUAGUGAAGAGACUUAGACAUUUGGGCAGAAAACUAUCCAAAAACCUAGCUUCUUCAGCUGAUAUGCUUCUUGAAUUACUUGAUACCAAAAGAUUUGGAUAAACUGCAAAAUAUUAGUCAUCACAGUCGCAACAUGGAAACAACAUCUUCCUCCAUCGGUGCUUUCUUGAUUGACUUUUAUCAGCUUCCAUCAUUCUCACCGGGCUUCCACUCCAUUCCACAGGGUUUAAACUCGGGUACUUCUUAUCAGUUCGACUUUCAGUGAAACUCAUUAACCACUGCAGUUCAAAGAUUGCGCGCAAGAUAUUUACUAGUGUAUAAUUAAACAAGAACAAAGUAACUUACACGGGAAAAGAAAAUGAGUGUGAACUGCUUAUGCUAUCAUUAGAUUGAUGAGAGGCAAUGCUAGAGGUGUUUGCAUGACAAGUACAUGAUGUUUGAUCAGAUUGAGAGUCCGAGGCACUAUUUGAAGUCUCUUGAUGAUCAUCAACUUGUUUGUUGUCUGAACUUGUUAUACUUUGUAAGUAACUUAUAUCAGGUCUAUACAUGUUUGAGUCAGUUACUUGUAAACACUCUCUGCUAUGUGGAAACUCCACUCUGCUUCCACUUGUUCUCUGCCAAUUCUCAAAGGACCUAGAAAAGUUUCUUUCCCUUUGGAAAGCCUGAAAAUUGUAAAAGAUAAAAUGGGUCAACAAAUUUAGAGGUAGCAUACUUUGGAUUUAAUUUCAAUGUGUUCCACUGAGGUAACAAUAUUAUAUCUAUUUUGAUAUUUUUGAAUGAGCUUCUAACACUUGACGUGGGAGCCUUAAAUUCUAAGUGCAAGUUGUGCUACUAAAUUUUUAUGUACUUCACCUUUUGUGAUAGUGUAGAUGGCAGUGAACUAACUAUCUUGUUGAAAAUGUUUAUUUAUUUAUAUCUUCAA